UCUCCUCCUGAAGUAUUAAUUAGGUAAAAAUUAGUAGCCACACACCCAGACUUGUGACUCCUUUGAAGAAAAAGAGUAUAGAAAUCAAGCAAAUGAAAUUACUCUUGGGGAAUUUCUUAUUGACGCUUAAAGAAGCAACACUGCUACACAGAGUAGCCAAAACUCUGCUCGGUGCACUCGAGUAGGACUGUGAGCCAGAGGGGUCUCCAGGCAGCCAGGGCCUGGCCUCGAGACAGACCAGAGGGCUGAGGAGACCGGACCCGGAGAGAAGAAGUCGUCUAUAGAAUUUGUAAAAAUCACAGCCAAGAAAUCCAGCUCUUUGGAACACACUGGAGUGAGAAAGAUCUAAAGCAGCUCCAAGCAAACUGGGAUGUUACUGUUAGAGAGAUCAGUUUUACGAAGGUCUGUCACUCCUGCCAAAAAAAUAGAGAAGCCCAUCAUCCAACCUCUGGGUAGCAACACAGCCAGCGCGAUCCAGAGUGAGGCUGCAGCUUCAACAUUCGCUCUGGGACAUGACUCUCUUCCCAGCAUGCAACCUGCUUGACAGCUAUCCACAGAACAGCAGCCCUACAUGUCCAAGUCCAAAAUCUGUGAUAGUGAAAAUAGGUGCUGCUCCACUGACUGUAAGAGUCGCAGCAACAUUAAAUCUGGUCUCCAGCAUUUGUUUAUACAGAUUCUGAACAAACAGGAAAAUGAAGGUGAAGAUGACUGAGUUAGCUGCAGAAGCCAAUAUUUUAAAUUUCUCAUGUUGACCUGACUGACAGAAUCGAUUUAAUUUUUGUUUUGUUUUUUAAAUACUUCAUUUAACUAUUUUAGUUAAAAACAAUUUUAACAAAAACAAACAUGAUUUUAAAAAACUUGAAUGUUUAACUAAAUUAAAAAUUUAUAUGCUUGUUUUGUUAAAAUAUUAUGUUUGCUGUUGAAGAAAAAAAAUCCAGAAUACAUAACAUUGUUGUUUUAGUUAAAUAAAACAGUUUAAAUGUC